rnacentral:lncRNA from 1 species
GGAGACGUAGGCUGCUCGGUUCGAAGUGACUGCUGCGCCCACUCCCUCUGGCUGUGGGGCCGCCCCCUCCCCACUCCCGCCCCUUUCCCCCGGACUGCCGUUCCAGCAGCCAAUCAGGAACUCCGGCGCUCGUCUGUUGGCUGUCACUCAGCUGUCAACCUUCAAUCAACAGUCCAGUGGCCGCGGAUGCCCACCUGUCAGCCUGUCAGUGGGCAAGCAGAGAGGUCAUGCCCCGCCCUGGAGCCUGGCAUCCCCGGGCAGGUAAACGCACAUCUGAAACACCUUCGGUCCCCACCCAUGCAGAGGACACCAACUCAUUCCCAAGGCCCUCAAGAUACCCCUCCUUCUAAAGCAGGCUGGUUAGGAGGGGGAAGAUUGAAGACAGAAAAGAAGAGGCACAGCAUGCGCAAGGGAAGAUGUGGGGUUACGUCACAGGACUGCACAAAAGCCUGAGCCUAUGAGACUUCACUUGCCAACAACAGGACCUAACACUAGGUCUCAACAGUGCUUUGAGAAAUGCUGAGAAGGCAGCUUGGAGCCUCACAGGUGUCCACCCCCGCUUCAUGCAGAGGCCCAGAGAGGGCAAGCUAUGGUGUAAGGACGCACAGCAGCAAGGGUUGAGCAGAGGCCUUGAAAUCCGAGAUUUCCUGAAGACCGGCACGGCCUGCCGGACUUUUCCAGGCCAGCACUGGCUCACACAGGGUGCCUCUGCUCUUCUGCCAGUGACACAAUGAGGGAAGCGGGGACUCACUCAGG